GAUGAAGAACGUAGCGAAAUGCGAUAAGUAAUGUGAAUUGCAGAAUUCAGUGAAUCAUCGAAUCUUUGAACGCACAUUGCGCCCGCCAGUAUUCUGGCGGGCAUGCCUGUUCGAGCGUCAUUUCCACCAUCAGGCCCCCGGGCCUGUGUUGGGGACCUGCGGCUGCCCGCAGGCCCCGAAAUUCAGUGGCGGUCGCGCCGUAGCAACCGAGCGUAGUAACUAAAACGUCUCGCUCUGGCUCGCUGGGCGCGCUCCGGCCGUAAAAAACCCCCCCUUUUCGCAAAGGUUGACCUCGGAUCAGGUAGGAAUACCCGCUGAACUUAAGCAUAUCAAUAAGCGGAGGA
rnacentral:misc_RNA from 1 species